GUGCCUUCAGCUGCUGCAGUCAUGCUCUUUAUCAUCAGCAGCCAUCCAUGCAGAUGAAAGGAUUUCAGACUAAUGUGAAUUUGAC